ACUCCUACGGGAGGCAGCAGUGGGGAAUAUUGCACAAUGGGCGCAAGCCUGAUGCAGCCAUGCCGCGUGUGUGAAGAAGGCCUUCGGGUUGUAAAGCACUUUCAGUCGUGAGGAAGGCGGAGUCGUUAAUAGCGGCCUCGUUUGACGUUAGCGACAGAAGAAGCACCGGCUAACUCCGUGCCAGCAGCCGCGGUAAUACGGAGGGUGCGAGCGUUAAUCGGAAUUACUGGGCGUAAAGCGCAUGCAGGUGGUUUGUUAAGUCAGAUGUGAAAGCCCGGGGCUCAACCUCGGAAUAGCAUUUGAAACUGGCAGACUAGAGUACUGUAGAGGGGGUAGGAAUUUCAGGUGUAGCGGUGAAAUGCGUAGAGAUCUGAAGGUAAUAACCGGUGGCGAAGGCGGCCCCCUGGACAGAUACUGACACUCAGAUGCGAAAGCGUGGGAGCAAACAGGAUUAGAUACCCCGUGGUAGCGACUGA
rnacentral:rRNA from 1 species